ACCUAAAAAAUAUGGCACAGAUUCAAUCAUAUGGACAUGAUAAUAAUUCCUCAUAGCAUCAGUUGAUGAAAAUAGUUUUGUUCUCUUUCGAAAGUUGCACAACAAGAAAAGAGUGAAUUUUGAAAACUGGGUGCAUCCUCAAAGAUUGUCGAUCUUCAAAAUGAUUAAAUGAAAAUUUCACCCAUACCCUCAUCUCAUUCCUCAAACUUUAGAACUCAAUGACCUUCAAGUCCGAAUAAUUACUGUGAAAACUGGCCAUUAGAGAAGUGAUAAGCAUUAUGUUCUAUUCACACUAUCAUUUUGGUAUCCGCAACGUGUCCUAUUCAAAACUAUUAAAACUCUAAAAAGACGUAGGUAUUCGUAAUGUUUUACCAAUAAACAUGCUUACCAGCAA